GAUGAACGCUGGCGGCGUGCCUAAUACAUGCAAGUCGAGCGAACGGACGAGAAGCUUGCUUCUCUGAUGUUAGCGGCGGACGGGUGAGUAACACGUGGAUAACCUACCUAUAAGACUGGGAUAACUUCGGGAAACCGGAGCUAAUACCGGAUGAUAUUUUGAACCGCAUGGUUCAAAAGUGAAGGACGGUCUUGCUGUCACUUAUAGAUGGAUCCGCGCUGCAUUAGCUAGUUGGUAAGGUAACGGCUUACCAAGGCAACGAUGGAUAGCCGACCUGAGAGGGUGAUCGGCCACACUGGAACUGAGACACGGUCCAGAAUCCUACGGGGGGCAGCAGUAGGGAAUCUUCCGCAAUGGGCGAAAGCCUGACGGAGCAACGCCGCGUGGGGGAUGAAGGUCUUCGGAUCGUAAAACUCUGUUAUUAGGGAAGAACAUAUGUGUAAGUAACUGUGUACAUCUUGACGGUACCUAAUCAGAAAGCCACGGCUAACUACGUG
rnacentral:rRNA from 1 species